ACGCUGCUGGAAGGUUUCCCACACAUCUGCCCGUAGUCCAUUGCCCAUUGCAAGACGGACUGUAUGUGUUUGGUCCUCUGGUCGCUGCAAAGACAUCACAAGAAGAGUGAGGAGGAGACAACCCCUAAGGUCAGAGGAGCCAUCACAAGACCCAAAGAAAAAGGUACCGCAGGAUCUCGCCUACAUACAGGAUCACUGUCACACCAUGCUGCCGGCAAUCAUUCCAGAAGCGGGAGGCAGAAAAUUUGGGGGCCAGGACACAGGUGGCUCCUGGGAGGAAGAGAAGGAGACUACUCCCAUGAGAAGAGUAUAGGGAGGCCUGGAUUCAAGUCUUGUUUCCAGAAGUGUGCAAAACUCAGUACCUGGUAUAAGAAAAGUGAUUCUUCCCUCCUGAUCCCUAUAUGACAUCUGGUUCAUCAUCCUGCACCCAAGGGGUAGCUGCUUGUGUGCCUGGUGAGGUAACAAAUGUGUCUUCUCUGAGACUGUGUUUUUUGGGGAAAAGUAACAAUGCUCUCUGUGAAAACACAACCCAGGUCACUGAAAUUGGCAGUUUUGCUUCCAAUCCCUAAGGAAACAUCUGAAUUGCAAAAGAAACAACUAGGGAACCUUGAUGGAGAGACUUCCCAGUCCAUCUCAACCUCUCUAAGGCAGGUAACAGACAUAAGUGCCCCCGGUGUGACAAAUGAGGAAUCACCAAGAUUCUUGUCAGGAAUAAUAGAAAUCAGUGCUGGGGGUGUAGUUCGGUGGUAGAGAAUUUGUUUAGUAUAUAUGAGUCCCUAGAUUCAAGCCCCAGCAUGUGAACAAAUAGCAAAACAAAGCAGAAACUGAACCUAAAAAGCCUUUAGAAGGCCUUUCAAUCUUACAGGAAAUCCUGGAGGAAAGAGGAAUGGACACCUAACAAGUAAAGGAAACACGGAGACUUUAACUGUAAAAAAGCAAUUGGGGAGGGCUGUGGUUGUGGCUCAGUGCCAGAGUGCUUGUCUGGUGUGUGUGAGGCACUGGGUUCAAUCCUC